ACGGUCACCUGCUCCAACAAAACGCUCCGGCAUAUCAAAUAGAAGCAGAUAACAUUCCUGGUGUGUCGUCAAGCAUGAGCACCGCUGAAAGCAACAUGUGACGCCACCAUAGGAGAGCAAACGCAUAUUGGCAGUGCGUCCGCAGUGGCAGGUGCAGGCAAAAGAUGGGCCCGCAGGACAAAGCGCAGCUCGAUCAUUUCGCCGAUGGAGCUGAUGGAUGGACAUUAGAGCUCAUAUGAGACAUACAACCUUGGAGGAGCCCAGAAGAAAACAACAGUCCCGCCGAACCCUGAGAGGCCUCAGCACUGCUCGAUAAGACGAGAUACAGACAGGAGAUACUGCUCGCAUUCCACCUGAUGGCAUUUAAGUGGAAGAGUGGACCUCCACAAACCUUUCUCUGAGAAACUCUUGGGUCUCUGCCAAUUGACAUGCAGCCAGACAGCACAGGCAAAGUCUUCUUCAGAUCAUCCUCAGGGAGCACACAAGUGGCACACUGUGAGGGAACAAAGCUUACUCAUCCUGAGUGACACACCAACAACAGGUCCUGUGACUAAUAAUGACAAAGCAGGCUGCUAUUUCACCUGUAGAAAAGAAAAGAGGAUUAGUCAGACGGUGACAUAUUGAUGGUGCGAGACAAGCUCUGGAUGGAAGUGGGGAGGUUUUUCAGUGCAGCGAUCAUGUGAGGUUCAAUGAGCAAGUCAUGUGGAGCUGAGACAAGUUGAAACUACAUGUUAUUGCCACAAAGUCUGGUCUGUGCGGCGUCUAGCAAGAUGUACUGGUUACAAAAACACCGAAAAUAUUGAGCACUUAUCAGCAACUCUGCUCGCAUAACACGACUGGCAAACAAAUAUGAUUGACUGAGACAACACUGAAAGUCAUGCGACAAGUACAGACAAGGUACAGUGCAUGUUGUCGAGAAACAUCCUUUGCUUUUCAGUCAUGAUUAACAAUUCUUUUUCGUUAUGAAACUAUUUGGGUUCAACACUAAAGGACAAGGUGUUCUCUUUCACAGAAAAACAUUGACACUUGAACAAUCAUAUAGGGUUAUUAAGAAAAAAGAAAACCAAUUUAGCAUGAAGACUGGGAACAAGUCACCUGGCUUUGUCCAAAGGCAACAAAACACUUACAAAUACUACAGGACACUUUGCAUGAAGUACUUUAGUUGUUGUUUGUAUGUUUCCUUAGCAACAUCUGGCAAGUUGGUACCAGCAGCACAUCAUAGCAAGAAUAAAGUCCUAUUUGCAUCAAGCAGAAACGUUUCUUUCAGUUUGGUAUGGUGUGCUAUUUUUGGUAUGGUUUCAUGUUUAUUUAUUUAUUUAUUUUUUUUGUCUUGUGAAAAGAAAUGAAAUUGUAUCAAAAUAGCCAUCCAUACCAUACUAUAUUUGGCAUCUUUUCUGUUGGUGUGGUGUGUAGUGAUAUUGUACCUAAAAGGUUGAACUAGAAGACUGCUCACCAUUUAUUGGUCAACGGAGAAUCGUCACUUCAGUGCUACAAAGAGAAUGGAAUACAAAAAACACACAGUUUGAUACUGUGGUUUACAACAGUGAGAUUGUAUACUUUAUAGGGCUAAAAAUGGACUCCUGCAGCAAAGUGGAGACUGUGGCGUAUAAUACUUUACUGCAGCAUCCAGAGUUUAGACAUGACAACAAGGUGUGCUAACACUAACGUGGAUUUAUUUUUGUGAUUUCUAGCGACGUAUCCUCAAAUGUUACUGUUGAAUCAGCUCGACUAGUGAGUUGCUAGUAGUGGUUUACGUCACCCUUCUGCCGUACAAUCAGCUCAAACUGCUUAGCACCGUAGCAAACCAGGUACUAGAAAUAGUAUCUUGACAUACCUGGUUUUGCUAGUGGAAAAGAGUCAAUAGUGAGUUGAGCCAUAGUAGGUAUCAUGCAGUGGAAACGGGGAAUAGAGUAUCUGCACAUUUGCAAUUUACUCUUCACGAAUGUAGACAUUCACAUUAUUUUUCUUUGAAAUGUACGCCCAGCUAUUCGCUAAAAAACUCACCUUUUUGCAUUUUAUGUGCGCUUUCUCAAGAUGGGGCCAUAGCCCUGUCUAAACAUAUAGUACAUAUUUGAUGUUAAGGAAGCAUGUUGAAGUGAUACAUCUUGAGUGAGAAACAAGCUUUGUAUGUGGAAAUGAGCUAAGUUUAGCCUAGGUUGUUAGUGGACGUUAUAGAGAGUCUUCACUGCAUGUGCAUGUACAUGCGAACUUCCAGUGUGUUUUGCAAAUAUCAAAUCAUCUGUAAAUCAUUUAUUUUCCAGGGUUAUGUUAAAAGAUGUCUCUGAAAUUAUAUUAAACUGAUGUGGGAUCAGUGUUUGUGGUAUGUGGUUUGUGCUAUAUUUACUGUUUAAACUAUUAAUAGAGGCAAUUCCAAACAUUUAACGUUAAUUACUUGUGGUUUUUCGCUAUUGACAGUAGGGCUCAGUCCCUAUUCUGGUAUGAUGUCAUAGUAGGCCUACUUAAUAUAGACAUCCCAUCUACACACCCCACAGCAAAAUAGAAAUCUAGACCAGGGUUUACCACUCCAAACUUUAUAGGCA